AAUCAACGCUGGCGGCGUGCCUAACACAUGCAAGUCGAACGCGAAAGCCCCGCAAGGGGUCAGUAGAGUGGCAAACGGGUGAGUAACACGUGGGUGACCUGCCUUCGAGUGGGGGAUAACGUCCCGAAAGGGACGCUAAUACCGCAUGACAUCCUGCUUUUGAAAAAGCGGAGAUCAAAGCUGGGGAUCGCAAGACCUAGCGCUUGAAGAGGGGCCCGCGCCUGAUUAGCUAGUUGGUGAGGUAACGGCUCACCAAGGCGACGAUCAGUAUCCGGCCUGAGAGGGCGGACGGACACACUGGGACUGAGACACGGCCCAGACUCCUACGGGAGGCAGCAGUGGGGAAUUGUUCGCAAUGGGCGCAAGCCUGACGACGCAACGCCGCGUGGAGGACGAAGAUCUUCGGGUCGUAAACUCCUGUCGAGCGGGGCGAACGCUUCGCGGAUGAAUAAUCCGCGGAAUUGACGGUACCGCUAAAGGAAGCCCCGGCUAACUCCGUG
rnacentral:rRNA from 1 species